rnacentral:lncRNA from 1 species
UCACUUCAACAGACUCUUGAUGCGGUUGAAUAACCCUUUCCUCUUGUUUUAAUAACCUGGUAAGCUCUUCAGGGAGUUCACAGUCUUCAUCACCCUCUUUUUCAGCUUGAAAGAUUGGAUUUUCAAAGUCGAAGCGAGCCAUAGCAGAACCGUUAUCAAUAGGAUCCGGUGAUGUGCAUCUGCAUGAGUGAUGAUAUGUGCUUAUGAGCGUGAACAAGAAGUGAAAACUAAACAAAACAUUGCCAUUUUUUUUAUUUUGAAAAAUUGCAAAAAUAGAAAGACAGGGAACGAAAUAUUUGAAUGCAAAAAUACGUCCUUUAUUUAUGAUAAAAAUGCAAGUGUCACAUAGACG